rnacentral:rRNA from 1 species
UACGUAGGUCGCAAGCGUUGUCCGGAUUUAUUGGGCGUAAAGAGCUCGUAGGCGGCUUGUCGCGUCGUCCGUGAAAACUUGGGGCUCAACCCCAAGCUUGCGGUCGAUACGGGCAGGCUAGAGUUCGGUAGGGGAGACUGGAAUUCCUGGUGUAGCGGUGAAAUGACGCAGAUAUCAGGAGGAACACCGGUGGCGAAGGCGGGUCUCUGGGCCGAUACUGACGCUGAGGAGCGAAAGCGUGGGGAGCGAACAGG